GAAAUUUGCGUUAGGCCGGGAGGGGCGGAGGGACGUCCGUGACGUCAGCACGCCCUCCUCCCCGCCCCCAGCCCCUGGGCCACGGGAGGGCGGACCGAGGCGCCGGGGCGGGCUGGGGCUUCCCCAGAUGUCGGGGCAGAGAAAUGAAACUGAGAGUGGGGGGGGGGGGCACAGAGACGAGACAAAGUGGUGGGGGAGGGGGGACGGGAGCUAAACACCAGGGAGGAACGCAGGGGACUGGGGCAGACCGGGGACGGGAGGGGGGGGCGCCAGAGUCGCAGCAGGGAAGGGGUCUCCCUCCACCACACCCAUGCCCUACCGCCUCCUUGAAUCCCCCACAAAGCCUGAUUUUUGUCCCCACUUUGGGGACUGAGGAACUGAGGCUGGGGAGAUCAGGAAGGUCACCUGCUCAAGGUCACCCAGCUGAGAAGGGGUGAAGCCCGCGGAGCCCCUCCGAGGCCAGGCAGAACUCCAGAGGCGGGCCCUUUAGCGAGUCCCUGUGAGCCCCGGCUCCACACUGAGGGGGUACCCUGGACCCAACACCCCCCAGACUCGGGGGCAGCCCCCGGCAUCCAGAAGCGGAGGCUCCGGACGCAAGCCUGGGGACCAGGGCUCCUGGGUGGGCACAGUCGUGAUGUCCCCACUCCGAGGCUGCAGCCGGAGCCUGGGGGAAGGUGACAGCAGCCCAGGUCUGUGACAAGAGCUGUGUGCAGACGCGCCGCUGAACGUGCUGGUCACCCUGAAUUUCAGCCCCGCAGCCGCCCAAAUCCCCUGCACCAGGGUCCCACCGUGGAGGCCCUCCAAGUUCCUGGGACACACUCCCACUCCCCCAUGUGGACUGAGAUCCGGGUCUGGGAGUUAAGCUGUUGGAAUCCCGUGACUUUUCAGUGGGAGCGAGUGGCCUCGCGGGCUGGACCACGCAGCUUUUCCACCCGAUCUGGGCAUCUCCUUCCCAUAACCGUCUCCAUCAGCAGCGAAUGGGGAUUUCCCGCCCGAAAGGCCAUCCCGGAAGCAACGGUGAGGUUCUGGGAGAGGAGCCCGAUCUCCGUCGGGAACACGGAGAGUCUGUGGCACCGUGUGGGCAAGCAGAGCCCGCCGGAGACGUGGCAGCCCCGAGCUCUGUGCUGUUGCCCAGCAUUCAUUGAACGCCUCUGUGAGCUGAUACUAUCAGUGUUGGGGGGACCUGCAGAAGCUGAGGAGGGUCCCUGUUCCCUGGAGGAGAGCCGUGAUGGCCCGCUCUUCCGGGCGAGGGGUUGCGGUGCAGCGAACAAAGACGGUGGGAGGGCUUUCUGCUCCCACUGCGUCCUUUCUAACACCACCCCCACCAUACGGCUCUUCCAGUGGGGGGGGGGGCUGGUCCUCGCAAAGCAGACGCAGGUACAAGUUCCCCGAAAUACCCACCGAGGGAACACCGUGUGGUCACAAUCAGAACCCCGAGCCCAUUUCGUAUAGGGUUUCAGAAACACGAGGAUCCCAAAGACUUCGUGUGAGUCCGUCCGCAUGAAACGUUCAGAAGAGGCAAGUGUGUAGAGCUGUGGAGACCGAAAGAAGACGAGGGUUUGUCCAGGCUGGGGGGGAGGAAGGAGGCGGGAAUGGCGGCCGGUGGGCACCGGUGAGCAGCGAUGGGCAGCGAUGGGCUCCGGUGGGCACCGGUGGGCAGCGAUGGGCANNNNNNNNNNNNNNNNNNNNNNNNNNNNNNNNNNNNNNNNNNNNNNNNNNNNNNNNNNNNNNNNNN
ensembl:lincRNA